UUCAGUUGUCUUCUUGUAUUCACGAAGUGAAAGAAGUACUGUGUUCAAUGCUGUUAGUGCCGUGAACUGUUUAUUAGUAGUCCUAUCCGUUGUGUACUGGGACGUGACACCGACAGGGGAAAGCUGGAGUGCGGAGACGUUAGCUGGCAAGCGAAAAUCGUGACGAACCAAGUGCUGAAAUCUUGGUUGGGACAAAUCAAACGUUCAGCAUUUACCUCAACCAAGGACCAUGCCGUUUGCUCUUUCCACUUCCUGAAGAUGGAUGCGCUGCCUGCUGGAGACUCUCCUAUCUCUCGUAACAUCUUCUGAAGCCAGUAUGUGCGCACGUGUGUGUGUGUGUGUGUGUGUGUGUGUGUGUGUGUGAGUGUGUGUGUGUGUGAGAGAGAGAGAGAGAGUGUGUGUGCAGGAGCAGCGUGGAGCAUGCCAGUGUGAUCGCUGUGGCGUUCUUGCCCGUCGCAAGUGUGUGGCUCAGCCCCCAACGACAGUGGAGCCGUGUUGUGGUGAAUACUGUGUGUCCCGCGACCGCUGCUUCCGUUCGGUCCAGGGCAGGAAUAGAUACCGCUGCUGAAGCUCUCCCCGGCCGUACGUCAGUCUCGUGGCAGAUGACCCGAACUCUCAUUUUGUGUGUGUGUGUGUGUGUGUGUGUGGUGUAUUUAUGUGUGUUGCUCCCUACGUAGCCGGACAAACUCUUGUUUUUGUGUCCCGGGCGCCAUGGGGCGGCGUUCUCCCAUUCUCUCUCCACCGCUCCUCCGGGCCCACGUGGCUGUGACUCGACAGGGCAGGGCAAGUGUGUGUAUGGCGCAUGGUGUGUGCUGGCAUGUCUGUAUAAAUAUGUUGGACAGGAAUUUGUUCACCCACAACGUUGACGGAAAACCAUGCUAGGUGUUGCUGGAAUGUAUGGAGUCUGCGAGCACUUACAAUAACUUACGUCAUGUCACAACAAAGAACGGUGCAGUGUUUGAUCCUCAUGUAAACAUGAUGGUGAUGGUACCUCACCUAAGCUACCCAUGAAGCUAGAAAGAACAUCAGGUCAACAGAAUUGUACCAGAGGAAAGCAUCUAUUGCCCGAACUUCUUCAUAUGAAAUGAACAAUACCCUUCUCCAUAGAGACAACAUGCAGAUGAAGUGUAUGGACAAAUAAUUAUAAAUAGGCCAUUCACUGAGGGCAUGGAAUGAUCUCUACGUGUAGAUUGGAUAGACACAUGCACGUCUGCAAGGAAAGCAUUUGUUCAUGGGUUAGUUCAUGGGCUGAUUGAGUUCACAUGGACUAAGUAGUUCAUAUAAUGCCAUCUCUCCUGAGCAGCAAAAUUUCAAAACAUACGACAUUAUUUCGUUCGCU